UACGAAGGGGGGCUAGCGUUGCUCGGAAUCACUGGGCGUAAAGGGUGCGUAGGCGGGUUUUAAGUCAGGGGUGAAAUCCUGGAGCUCAACUCCAGAACUGCCUUUGAUACUGAAGAUCUUGAGUUCGGGAGAGGUGAGUGGAACUGCGAGUGUAGAGGUGAAAUUCGUAGAUAUUCGCAAGAACACCAGUGGCGAAGGCGGCUCACUGGCCCGAUACUGACGCUGAGGCACGAAAGCGUGGGGAGCAAACAGG
rnacentral:rRNA from 1 species